rnacentral:rRNA from 1 species
AGGACGAACGCUGGCGGCGUGCUUAACACAUGCAAGUCGAGCGAGGCCCUUCCUUCGGGGAGGUGUCCUAGCGGCGAACGGGUGAGUAACACGUGGGCAACCUGCCCUCAGCUCUGGGAUAACUCCGGGAAACCGGGGCUAAUACCGGAUAUGACCACCUUGGGCAUCUUGGGUGGUGGAAAGUUUUUCGGCUGAGGAUGGGCCCGCGGCCUAUCAGCUUGUUGGUGGGGUGAUGGCCUACCAAGGCGACGACGGGUAGCCGGCCUGAGAGGGUGACCGGCCACACUGGGACUGAGACACGGCCCAGACUCCUACGGGAGGCAGCAGUGGGAAUAUUGCGCAAUGGGCGGAAGCCUGACGCAGCGACGCCGCGUGAGGGACGAAGGCCUUCGGGUUGUAAACCUCUUUCAGCAGGGACGAAGCGAAAGUGACGGUACCUGCAGAAGAAGCACCGGCCAACUACGUGCCAGCAGCCGC